AAAUGAAUUGACGGGGGCCCGCACAAGCGGAGGAACAUGUGGUUUAAUUCGAUGAUACGCGAGGAACCUUACCCGGGCUUGAAAUGUACUCGACGAAUGGGGAAACUCAUUUUCCAGCAAUGGCGAGUAUGUAGGUGCUGCAUGGUUGUCGUCAGCUCGUGCCGUGAGGUGUCGGCUUAAGUGCCAUAACGAGCGCAACCCCUGCCGUUAGUUACUAUCGGGUAAAGCCGAGGACUCUAGCGGGACUGCCACCGUAAGGUGUGAGGAGGGUGGGGAUGACGUCAAAUCAGCACGGCCCUUACGUCCGGGGCGACACACGUGUUACAAUGGGCGGUACAGAGGGCGGCUACCCGGUGACGGGAUGCCAAUCUUAAAAACCGUUCUCAGUUCGGAUCGGAGUCUGCAACUCGACUCCGUGAAGCUGGAUUCGCUAGUAAUCGCGCAUCAGCCAUGGCGCGGUGAAUACGUUCCCGGGCCUUGUACACACCGCCCGU
rnacentral:rRNA from 1 species